rnacentral:rRNA from 1 species
AAGGGAGCGCAGGCGGGAAAUCAAGUCAGCUGUGAAAUCUAUGGGCUUAACCCAUAAACUGCAGUUGAAACUGUUUUUCUUGAGUGAAGUAGAGGUUGGCGGAAUUCCGAGUGUAGCGGUGAAAUGCGUAGAUAUUCGGAGGAACACCAGUGGCGAAGGCGGCCAACUGGGCUUUUACUGACGCUGAGGCUCGAAAGUGUGGGGAGCAAACAGGAUUAGAUACCCUGGUAGUCCACACUGUAAACGAUGAUAACUAGGUGUGGGGGGUCUGACCCCUUCCGUGCCGCAGCAAACGCAAUAAGUUAUCCACCUGGGGAGUACGACCGCAAGGUUGAAACUCAAAGGAAUUGACGGGGGCCCGCACAAGCAGCGGAGCAUGUGGUUUAAUUCGAAGCAACGCGAAGAACCUUACCUAGACUUGACAUCUCCUGCAUUACUCUUAAUCGAGGAAGUCCCUUCGGGGACAGGAUGACAGGUGGUGCAUGGUUGUCGUCAGCUCGUGUCGUGAGAUGUUGGGUUAAGUCCCGCAACGAGCGCAACCCUUAUUGUUAGUUGCCAUCAUUAAGUUGGGCACUCUAGCGAGACUGCCCGGGUUAACCGGGAGGAAGGUGGGGAUGACGUCAAAUCAUCAUGCCCCUUAUGUCUAGGGCUACACACGUGCUACAAUGGUCGGUACAAUAAGACGCAAGCCCGCGAGGGGGAGCAAAACUGGAAAACCGAUCUCAGUUCGGAUUGUAGGCUGAAACUCGCCUACAUGAAGCUGGAGUUGCUAGUAAU